rnacentral:rRNA from 1 species
UACGGAGGGUGCAAGCGUUACUCGGAAUUACUGGGCGUAAAGCGCACGCAGGUGGCUGAGUCAGUCGAUUGUGAAAGCCCUGGGCUUAACCUGGGAAUUGCAGUCGAUACUACUCAGCUAGAGUAUGGGAGAGGGUAGUGGAAUUCCCGGUGUAGCGGUGAAAUGCGUAGAUAUCGGGAGGAACAUCAGUGGCGAAGGCGGCUACCUGGCCCAAUACUGACACUCAGGUGCGAAAGCGUGGGGAGCAAACAGG